rnacentral:rRNA from 1 species
UACGGGGGGGGCAAGCGUUGUUCGGAAUUACUGGGCGUAAAGGGCUCGUAGGCGGCCAACUAAGUCAGACGUGAAAUCCCUCGGCUUAACCGGGGAACUGCAUCUGAUACUGGAUGGCUUGAGUUCGGGAGAGGGAUGCGGAAUUCCCAGUGUAGCGGUGAAAUGCGUAGAUAUUGGGAGGAACACCAGUGGCGAAGGCGGCUCACUGGACCGGAACUGACGCUGAGGCGCGAAAGCGUGGGGAGCAAACAGG